rnacentral:rRNA from 1 species
AUUGAACGCUGGCGGCAUGCCUUACACAUGCAAGUCGAACGGCAGCACGGGGCAACCUGGUGGCGAGUGGCGAACGGGUGAGUAAUGCAUCGGAACGUACCUUUCAGUGGGGGAUAACGUAGCGAAAGUUACGCUAAUACCGCAUAUUCUGUGAGCAGGAAAGCAGGGGAUCGCAAGACCUUGCGCUGAUUGAGCGGCCGAUUGCAGAUUGGCUAGCUGGUGAGGUAAGAACUCACCAAGGCGACGAUCUGGAGCGGGUCUGAGAGGAUGAUCCGCCACACUGGAACUGAGACACGGUCCAGACUCCUACGGGAGGCAGCAGUGGGGAAUUUUGGACAAUGGGGGCAACCCUGAUCCAGCCAUGCCGCGUGAGUGAAGAAGGCCUUCGGGUUGUAAAGCUCUUUCGGCCGGGAAGAAAUCGCACGGGCUAAUACCCUGUGUGGAUGACGGUACCGGAAUAAGAAGCACCGGCUAACUACGUGCCAGCCGCCGCCGUAACAC